GGGUAUGUAGCUAAAUUUAAGUGUAUUAAUUACAUUAAUAGGAUACUUUAAAAAGUUUUACUUU
rnacentral:tRNA from 1 species